UCAACGUGUAGUUAUCGGAAAAACAGAGUUCGGAAGAGAUCAAGAGAUCUAAUAUGACUUUCGUGUUUUCCCAACUCACUUGCAAAA